rnacentral:rRNA from 1 species
AGUGAACGCUGGCGGUAGGCCUAACACAUGCAAGUCGAACGGCAGCACAGUAAGGGCUUGCUCUUACGGGUGGCGAGUGGCGGACGGGUGAGGAAUACAUCGGAAUCUACUUUUUCGUAGGGGAUAACGUAGGGAAACUUACGCUAAUACCGCAUACGACCUACGGGUGAAAGCAGGGGAUCUUCGGACCUUGCGCGAUUGAAUGAGCCGAUGUCGGAUUAGCUAGUUGGCGGGGUAAAGGCCCACCAAGGCGACGAUCCGUAGCUGGUCUGAGAGGAUGAUCAGCCACACUGGAACUGAGACACGGUCCAGACUCCUACGGGAGGCAGCAGUGGGGAAUAUUGGACAAUGGGCGCAAGCCUGAUCCAGCCGUACCGCGUGGGUGAAGAAGGCCUUCGGGUUGUAAAGCCCUUUUGUUGGGAAAGAAAAGCAGCAGGUUAAUACCCCGCUGUUCUGACGGUACCCAAAGAAUAAGCACCGGCUAACUUCGUG